UUUUAUGAGAGUUUGAUCCUGGCUCAGGACGAACGCUGGCGGCGUGCCUAAUACAUGCAAGUCGAACGCUUCUUUUUCCACCGGAGCUUGCUCCACCGGAAAAAGAGGAGUGGCGAACGGGUGAGUAACACGUGGGUAACCUGCCCAUCAGAAGGGGAUAACACUUGGAAACAGGUGCUAAUACCGUAUAACAAUCAAAACCGCAUGGUUUUGAUUUGAAAGGCGCUUUCGGGUGUCGCUGAUGGAUGGACCCGCGGUGCAUUAGCUAGUUGGU
rnacentral:rRNA from 1 species